rnacentral:rRNA from 1 species
CCCUUAGAUGUUCUGGGCAGCACGCGCGCUACAAUGGUCUUCGCAAACGGAUGCAUUCUCGAAGGAGAAUGCCAAUCUUGGAAUCUAUGCCUUGGUCGGGACAGUUGCUUGCAAUUUUUCGACUCGAACCAGGAAUUCCUUGUAAUCGUGAUUCAUCACAUCACGAUGAAUACGUCCCUGCCCUUUGUACACACCGCCCGUCGCUCCUACCGAUCGAAGAGUUAGGUGAAUUGUUUUGAUCGAUAAGAUUUGACUAUGGUUAACUCUCGUUGUGAAAUUCUGUGAAUCUGACUGUUUAGAGGAAGGAAAAGUCGUAACA